rnacentral:lncRNA from 1 species
UGACUACUGCAGAAUAAUGAAUUUUAUCAAAUAAGCAUGCAUUUAAUAUAUUUAAUUAACUUAAAACACUUCCACACUCUUAAAUGAUGCACAUGUUGUUACUGAUUCAUUUAUUAUGACUGUAAUGUGUUGCAAAUGGAAAUUGACAUAUUUGACCUAGAUACAUUGUACGACAGCUGUUAAUGCUGGCUGUUCAAACUCCUCCCUCUGAAAAAUCACAUUGCCAGUCGUUUGCCUUUUUACAAACGAAAAAGGGAGGUUCAGUGAAGAGCUUACACAAACACUGUACACUUAUAUACAUCGGACAUAAAUAUUAUUUUAGCCCUCACUAUCACUCGUGCAAAAAUAAUCACGAAUAUAAUGCCUACCCAUGUUAAAACAAAUAAAGUAUAGCUUCCAUCAAUUAUCUCUUAAUUUGACUUAUCAAUAAUAGACCAAACUGAUAAUCCAAACUUAUUAAGCCAUCUUUCUGUUUCUAUUAGGAAAAAAACAGCUAAAUACAUACUAUCUGCUUCUUGGCACAAUAUUAUGGUUUUUAUAUGACCGCAAAAAUUUUUUGGUCGUAUAUUGGAAUCACGUUGGCCGAAGACUUUUGGUUUUCACACUAUAACUUUAGUAUAAGUCAUAGAAAUCUAUGAAAUUUAAACACAAGGUUUAUGACCA